AUUAUAAUGCUUCUCUAAUAUUUGUAAUUAUUUGUUUUUUUUCUCCACAGAUAUUUGAGUGUGUCCAUGUAAAAUGAGCAGUCUAGCAGUUUUAAUACGUUACCAUCAAGCGUGAUUGUGUCCUGAAGACCUACCUCAUUUGAAGAGUGUGUGCAUCUACGUCAAUGAAGACUUAAAGGAAUAUGUGGACUGAAAGUGGCAGAAUCUCAUCGCACACACAACAGUGGAGAUCUUUAUCAUUUGGGCUGAGGAUGCUGGUCCUGGGGACAGACCUACAGAUGUUAGUGUAGAAGUUUUGAACCUGCUGAGUGUCACAUAUAGAUUGGAUAGACUUUUUGGGUUCAUGUACACUUAAAGGGUUUUUUUAACCAGAACUGAAAACGUUUAAUUAUCCGUGUCGUACCAAACAUUGAUUUGUCUUCGAAGUACAAAUUAAGAUACUUCAGGUGAAAUCUGAGAGCUCUCAUUCUCUAUAGACAGCAAUGGUCCCAACUUGUUUAAAGUCCAGAUAAAAACCUAAAACAUCCUCAAAACAGACCACAUGCUUUCAGUUGUUCAAUCAGAAUAUUUUUAAGCUACAAGAAUAAUUUGGAGUGCAUAUAAAGCAAAAAUAACAGCCCUUGAGUUUCUUUAUUCUGUUGAACAAGAUAUUUUGAAGAAAGCUGAA